GGGGAUUUAGCUCAGUGGUAGAGCGCUUGCCUAGGAAGCACAAGGAAGCACAAGGCCCUGGGUUCGGUCCCCAGCUCCG
rnacentral:tRNA from 1 species